rnacentral:rRNA from 1 species
CUACGUAGGGUGCAAGCGUUAAUCGGAAUUACUGGGCGUAAAGCGUGCGCAGGCGGUUUUGUAAGACAGUGGUGAAAUCCCCGGGCUCAACCCGGGAACUGCCAUUGUGACUGCAAGGCUGGAGUGCGGCAGAGGGGGAUGGAAUUCCGCGGGUAGCAGUGAAAUGCGUAGAUAUGCGGAGGAACACCGAUGGCGAAGGCAAUCCCCUGGGCCUGCACUGACGCUCAUGCACGAAAGCGUGGGGAGCAAACAGGAUUAGAUACCCUGGUAGUCCACGCCCUAAACGAUGUCAACUGGUUGUUGGGGAUUUAUUUUCUCAGUAACGAAGCUAACGCGUGAAGUUGACCGCCUGGGGAGUACGGCCGCAAGGUUAAAACUCAAAGGAAUUGACGGG